UACGUAGGGUGCGAGCGUUAAUCGGAAUUACUGGGCGUAAAGCGUGCGCAGGCGGUUGGUUAAGUCUGAUGUGAAAGCCCCGGGCUCAACCUGGGAAUGGCAUUGGAAACUGGCUGGCUAGAGUGUGGCAGAGGGGGGUGGAAUUCCGCGUGUAGCAGUGAAAUGCGUAGAGAUGCGGAGGAACACCGAUGGCGAAAGCGGCCACCUGGACUGCACCUGACACUGAUACGCGAAAGCUAGGGGAGCGAACGGG
rnacentral:rRNA from 1 species